rnacentral:rRNA from 1 species
UCGGAACUCUGAAAAGGUGCUGCAUGGCUGUCGUCAAAACGGGUUGUGAAAUGUUGGGUUAAGUCCCGCAACGAGCCCAACCCUUAUCCUUAUUUGCCAGCACUUCGGGUGGGAACUCCUGGGAAAAUGCCCGUGAUAAACCGGAAGAACCUCGGGAAAAACCUCAAAUUAUCAUGGCCCUUAAUAAUAGGGCUACAAAGUGGCUAAAAAGGCGCAUAAAGAAGGUGGCCAACCCGAGAAGGUGAACA